CAGAUGAUGACUUGAAAGUACGAUCGCCCGGUUGAAUCGCUCGUUAUCGUGCACCAUGUAGUCCCUUGUGUAAGGCGCAUCGAUAAACUACGUAUUGGGAAAUAUGCUCAAAAAUAUAACCCAACCAAACAUCAAAUAUAGCAGGAAACAUAAGAAUUAGAUGAAGUAGAAGUAAAAAAAAAAAAAAUUCAAACAACAUAAAAAAAAAUACAACCUAAUAUACCUAAUAUUUCGAUUUGUCAAGUUAAAAAAAAAUAACGCCACCAAAAAGACCAGCAACAACAGUAAAUAAAACAAAUAUAAUGAAUAAAAUAUACAACAAAGCAACACCAAAAAUAUCUCGGAGUCCUUAGGAACAUUCGAUUGCAUGUAAUUUUGCACGGUCAGCAUCAUCAUCAUAAUCUUCAUCAUCAUCAUUAACAUUAUUAUUAUUAUUAUUAUUAUUAUUAUUAUUACUCAUCUAUUAUCAUUAUUGUCUGCGUCAUCUAUAAAGCCAUGAAGUAAAAAUCGUUACGUUGCGAAAUUGGACGGUCAUCAGCUCCAGUAACUAGUGUCACACCUCCGCCUCUCUGCGUGACCAUCAGCUCCAGCACAAUCUCCACCAGUGUCAAAGCAGAAGCAACAAAAAUAUCAACUAGAAGAAACAGAAAUUCUAAUAAAAUACAAAAAAAAAAUUACUCCUCUUCUACUCACCUCCAUUCCCAAUGCAAAAUAUAACAAGGAAAAUAAAACAAAAAACAAAAAACUGUAUUAGCUCUUGGCUCCUCCUGAGCUCCGCCCACCACAAAAACAAAAAGUAAAACGUAAAAUAAAAUUUCGAAAGCAAAAUGUAAAAAUAAUACUUAAGAAAAUUAAUUUGAAAUAAUAAUUAAAUAUCUCGCCAUAUUUCACCACCCCUUCGUUAUAAAGGAAAAAAAGUAACUAAAAACGAUAUAAUCAAAGUUUAAUUUUUUUCUCUACUCUUUCCCCUCUUUUUGCUCUCAUAGCUCCUCCUUCUUUUCCUUCUCUUCUUCCUUACACUAUAGAAGAAAAAAACAAAAAAAAAAAACGAAGAUAGCAAAAUAGUCUAAUUUAUCCUGACGCCCGACAGUCAAUGAACAAUAUAAAGCCGUGCCAGUCCAUUAUGGCGACAUAUCUUGGCCUGUCACAGAGAAUAUAUGUCACAGCGGAAGCAGUGAACUGUAAAACAGAAGCAACUGUCCAAGAAAGAAGACGUAAUAUUAUCGAACAAUUAAUAGGAUCCACCAUUUAUGACUUGUACAUAAGGAAAGAGAUUAUGCGGAACAUUAAACGAGAAAUUAGCAGACGAUCUUUUAAAGUGUCCUUUUCUGCAACGCAAUUCUUUUGACAAACACGCCGUGUUAAUAUUCUUAACAUUGUUAUCAUUAUUAUUAAUUAGUGUUUUGAUAUUCUUGUUGUCAAUAUUAUUAUUAUUAUUAUUUAUGGCAAUUUGAAAAAGAAAUAAUAACAAUUUCUAGUUGAUUGGCAAUUAUAGCAAAACUGUGAGAAACACGGGAAAAAGAAAAGAAGAAAUUAUUGGAGGAGGUGUAGGAAAAUUUAUGAAGAGAAACAGGAAGAGAGGAAAUCAGAAAGAUAAGUAGAUAGAUAGAUAGAUAGAUAAAUAGAUGUUUAGAUAAAUGAAUGGAUAGACAGAUGGAUAAAUAGAUAUAUCGAUUGUCAGAUUAAUAAAGCGACCACAAAUACCAAUAGAAGUAAUAGCUACAAUAACAACAGUAUUAACGGCGAUAACAACAACAACAACAACAACAACAGUAAUAAUAAAGACAAUAAUAAAGUAGUGAUAAGAGCAACAACGACAGCUAAAACAACAUUAACGAAUAAGGCUGUCAACCUCCACUACCUCAUUAGUUUCUUUUCUUGUUCUUCUUCAUUAAUAGCACAAGUAACAGUACUAUUACCAUCUUUAUAACCAGCAUCAUCAUUCUCAUCAUCAUCAACAUCAAAGUCACCCUCAAUAUCGUCAGUGUCAUCGUCAUUAUCAACAACAAAAGCAACAACCGAAACAACGAUAACAAACAAACGCAUCGUUAUUAUCUUCAUGAUGAUGAUGAUGAUGAUGAAUAAAUGAAGAAAAACAAAGGAAAACAACUUUAACAGAAAUACAAUACAGAAGAGAUUAAAAUCUAUAAUAUAUAUACAUAUAUAUAUAUAUAUAUAUAUAUAUAUAUAUACACAUAUGAAUAUCAUGUAAAUAAAAGGACACAGAAAGAAGAUAUAAAACGUAAAACUACGGAAAAACAAACUACGAGCAUAGACGAAAGAAGGAGAAAAAUAAACCGAAGAAUAAAAUAUAUUGUAAAACAAUUGAAAACCACGACUAUCGCAUCAUUAUAAGUCAUCAUCGUCAGCAGCAGCAGCGGCAGCAACAACAACAACAACAACAACAACAACAACAACAACAACAACAACAACAACAACAACUACAGCAACAACAACAACAGCAACAACCACAGGAAAGCAACAUCGAAAGCUAAAAAGAAAUCCUAAGUGCAAUAUGCAAGGAUAUUAUCAAUAAUAAUAUCAUAAGAAGUUUGAUCUUUAUGACCCGAUUGAUUUAAAAAAUGAAAACUGAAAAUAUCUGUUCGAAAGUGAAAGUAAGUGAUCCAAAGUAAUAAUAACCUCAACAUCGUCAUCAGCAGCACAACAGCCAUUAAUAACACUACACAAUCUUCCAUCAUCUGUACCACUGUCCCCAGCAACACUAUCACCAACAUAACCAUACAUUUCUUCUUUAUUACGUUUCCCUAAAAUUAUUUGCUCCAUUUAUCUAUUUAUUUAUUGAAAUAUUCCAUAGAACUCACUUUUCUAUUUCUUCUGCGUGCCAGUGUUUAGGAAUUUUUUUUUAAUCUCUCACAUCUUCUAUCUCUCUCUUAUGUUUUUAUUUUUGUUUCUCUAUCUCUCUAUCAAUCAAACACUCGACAUUUAAACAAAACAAUUUAAUAAUAAUAAUAAUCGUUUUAUUUUUUUGAAAAUAUUUUCACUUUUGUUUUCUUCAAAUAAGAUAACUGAAAGAUAGCUUAGUUUGCUUUGGUUUAUUUGUUUAAAGAAACAUACGAGGAACCCGAGUCUCUCCCCUAAUCCCCCUCUCUCUCUCACACACACGCACACUCAUAUCUUUAUAUGUAUAUGUAUAUGUACUUGUAUAUGUUGACUUUACAAGGAAAUUAUGCAAAGACAUUUGGUCAAGUGAAACCAAGCUCUGAUAAUUGAACAUUCUUCGUUAUUAACAGAACGAAAGAGGAAAAUAUAAAACGAAAAGAAAUCACGAGAAACGCAGUGAAAAGAAUCACCGAAAGAAAGGAGAGAGGGAGAGAAAGGUGAAAGAAGAUAGAAUUAUUGAAAUAAUCAUAAAAAUAAUUAUAAUAACAAUAACAAAAAAAGAAGCGGCAACAAGAGCUGCUUCUUUCUGUUUUCAAAUAAAAUUCUUCAUGCAAAUAACAGUCGUAUUCCACUAAUAAAACCGAGUUAAUUUCGGAGUGAAAAGUGUAGCGUCAUGGAAACACCACUUCCGGAUACAACAACGUUUCACAAUGAAUCUACUGUGGGAAAACAAAUAUCACUAUCUCUACAGAUUACCUUUGGCAUCACUUACGGGAUUAUAGCUAUCAUCACACUUGUGGGCAAUUUAUUGGUGCUCAUCGCCGUUUUAAAAUUUCAACGUCUUCAAAUUCCAACGAACUACUUUGUGUGCAGUCUUGCUUUCGCUGAUGUGACAGUCGCCAUUUUAGUGUUACCACUGUCUUUAAUUUAUGACCUUACAGGUGGAGAAUGGUGGUUCGGUUGGGUGUUUUGCUACUUUUGGCGGUCUUGUGACGUCAUGUGUUGCACAGCAUCUAUUUUGCAUUUAUGUUGUAUUUCUCUAGACCGCUAUUGGGCAAUCACUAAGCCGUUUGCCUACACCAUGAAAAUGUCUAAAGGAAGAGUAGCUUGCAUGAUCAUAACCGUCUGGUUUUGCAGCGUUUGCAUAUCGUUCAUUCCGUUCUAUUUAGGCUGGUUCACCGACGAUCCAGACACACUAUACACAGAUACAGGCAAAUGUGAUUUAACAGUUAAUAAAAUUUACGCUGUACUUUCUGCAAUGACAUCUUUUUAUAUUCCAUUUAUCGUCAUGGUAUUUUCAUAUGCAGCCAUUUUAAGAAUUGCGAAAAUACAGGCAAACGCCAUAAAAAAGAGCAUCCCCAGACACAGUUAUACCGGUGGUGGCGGGCAAGAAAAAUACGAAUCGGCGGCUAGUGAUAGAAAAGCACUGAGGACCCUCGGAAUAAUAAUGGGGGUGUUUAUUGUUUCUUGGUUACCGUUUUUUCUAAUGUAUAUAAUUAUGCCCUUUUGUUCUGAGUGUGAAAUAUCUCCGAUGGCAAUAUCGGUUAUUACAUGGCUUGGUUAUGGCAACAGUUGUAUGAAUCCUGUUAUAUAUGCAUUUAUGAACAGGGACUUCCGUCUGGCUUUUAAGAAACUUCUCACUUGUUCUGUUUCAUGAAUUUUCAUUUUAUAUAUUUAAUUAAUUUGAUUGACUCAAUAAUUAUUGUACAUUUUUAUUUAGUAAAAAAAAAAAUAUUUCAGAAAUAUUAAAUUUCUAAAUAUCUCAGAGAGAUAUGUGCGGUGGUGGAGCGAUAGAGUGGUUGUAUACUGUCAACUUAACGUGACAGUCCCGUAAGGGAAUUACACCACGGCUGUUUAGCCCUAGGAAGCAUCGACGCUUCCUGUCGGCCUUCAAACAUUUCCUGUGUCCUUAUAUAUAUAGGAAGGGGAGAGACAAACACCCCAACAGCUCAGGCCUAGCUGUUGGGGGUGUUUGUCUCCCCUUCGUAAAUAUAUAAGGACACUGGAAACGUGUCAAGGCCGACAGGAAGCGUCGAUGCUCCUAGGGCCAAACAGCGGUGGUGUAAUUCCCUUACGGGACUGUCACGUUAAGUUGAGAGUAUACAACCAAAAAAUAUUUCAUAUUUUAUAAAGAAAAAAAUGCAAACUUAUCCACGAAGAAUCUUUGAAAAUUAUUUAUUUUAAACCCUACAUUUUAUUAAAAGGAAGACACGUCUUCUGAAAAAUAUGGCUCCCUAAUGCCAUGGUCUCUCGCAUGCAAAGCUCUUCUGUGAUCUUCGAAAGGACAUUUUUCAAUGUAAUCUUCUUCAAAUUGCACAAACUUAAUUCUAAUGUAUUGUAUAUGAUGUCUUGAAAAGAGAGAAAAGAAUAACAAACUAGUCUAAUAUUUCAAAAUGUCUGUUUGUCAUUAAUCUUUUUACUAUCUAUUGGGG
rnacentral:lncRNA from 1 species